rnacentral:rRNA from 1 species
CAUAUCAACUUUCGAUGCCACUUUCUGCACCUACCACGGUGACCACGUGUAACGGGGAAUCCAGGUUUGAUUCCG